rnacentral:rRNA from 1 species
GACGAACGCUGGCGGCGUGGAUUAGGCAUGCAAGUCGAACGGUAUCAUCCUUUCGGGGGUGAGAGAGUGGCGAACUGGUGAGUAACACGUAGGUUAUCUACCCUCAAGACGGGGACAACCCAGGGAAACUUGGGCUAAUACCGGAUGUGAGCAACUUUUAGUUGUUUGAAAGGUGGCGUAAGCUGUCGCUUGGGGAUGAGCCUGCGUCCUAUUAGUUAGUUGGUGAGGUAACGGCUCACCUAGGCAAUGAUAGGUAGGCGGCCUUAACGGGUGGUCGCCCACACUGGGAUUGAGAUACGGCCCAGACUCCUACGGGAGGCAGCAGUCGAGAAUAGUCUACAAUGGUCGGAAGACUGAUAGUGCGACGCCGCGUGAACGAUGAAUCCCUUCGGGGUGUAAAGUUCUUUUAUAUGUGAGCAGUGCUUCUUAUAUUAACAGUAUGGGGAGAGAGAUAUUAGCAUAUGAAUAAGCAACGGCUAACUCCGUGCCAGCAGCCGCCGGU